rnacentral:rRNA from 1 species
UUCGGAACGGGUUAGUGGCGCACGGGUCGAGUAACACGUAGGUGACUACCCCAGAUGGGGGAUAACUUCUCGAAAGAGAGGCUAAUACCGCAUACACUCGGUCAGUUCAUUUGGCCGAGCAAAGCUCCGGCGCUUUGGACGGGCCUGCGUCCGAUUAGCUAGUUGGUAGGGUAAUGGCUUACCAAGGCUUUGAUCGGUAGCUGGUCUGAGAGGACGAUCAGCCACACUGGCACUGACACACGGGCCAGACUCCUACGGGAGGCAGCAGUGAGGAAUAUUGGGCAAUGGGCGAAAGCCUGACCCAGCAACGCCGCGUGAGGGAUGAAGGCCUUCGGGUUGUAAACCUCUUUUCUGGGAGAAGAGACAAGGACGGUAUCCCAGGAAUAAGUCUCGGCUAACUACGUG